GCAAUAACCUUUCUGGGGUUAUUCCAGAAUCAAUUGGACUUCUUCAGAAACUCGAAGUUUUACGGCUAGACAGCAAUAAUUUGAUUGGACCAGUUCCUCAAUGUAUCAGCAAUCUGACAAGACUCAAAGUGCUAAACUUUGCAAACAACGAGCUAACAGGAAUGAUACCAAAUAUUACUGGA